CAGCAGUGUUUCUUUACAGUGGAUAAGGACUUGUGCCAAUUCAAAGGCAGGCAGAGGCUUCCAGCCACAGGAUUCUCAGGCAUCCGUCUCUGCGGUUCUUGGAAAAAGUUGUUCCUUUAGCAUCUUUUUCCUCCAGGGUCAUCCGAGCCCGACAGGCUCGCCUGGGGUCCCUCCUCGGUCAUCACGUUCAGCAUUCUCUCGGUCCUCAUUGAGGACUUUCUUGUCUCAAUGCGGAGGGAUUGACCUUCUGGCAGUGCGCCGCAUCCCAGAUGAUGGGGUCCCCCUGAGAAGGAAGUAUAGCCGGAUAGCAGCAGGGAAGGCGAAGCAGGUGGAAGGUGAUCUACUUGCAAGAUAUCCCAGCCAAGGAUACUGGAGGACAGGAUUUGGCGUUGCCCCGAGCACGGCAAGGAGCAGAGAUGAGCAGGUCUCUGAUGCCUGUUUUCUGAGGAUCUACCGUUUGAUGUUGAGAAGCAGCAGUGAGAAGAUAUCUCAGGGCAUUUUGUUCAGCAGAG
rnacentral:lncRNA from 1 species